CCUACGAGAGGCAGCAGUGAGGAAUAUUGGUCAAUGGGCUCAAGCCUGAACCAGCCAAGUCGCGUGAGGGAAGACGGCCCUAUGGGUUGUAAACCUCUUUUGUCAGGGAGCAAGUGGCGCUACGUGUAGCGUUAUCGAGAGUACCGGAAGAAAAAGCAUAGGCUAACUCCGUGACAGCAGCCGCGGUAAUACGGAGGAUGCGAGCGUUAUCCGGAUUGAUUGGGUGUAAAGGGUGCGUAGGCGGGUAGCCAAGUCAGGGGUAAAAUCGCGGGGCUCAACCUGGCUACGCCGUUGAAACUGGCGUUCUUGAGUGGGCGAGAAGUAGGCGGAAUGCGUGGUGUAGCGGUGAAAUGCAUAGAUAUCACGCAGAACUCCGAUUGCGAAGGCAGCAUACCGGCGCCCAACUGACGCUGAAGCACGAAAGCGUGGGUAUCGAACAGGAUUAGAUACCCGGGUAGUC
rnacentral:rRNA from 1 species